UAUUCCUACGGGGGGCAGCAGUGGGGGAUAUUGCACAAUGGGGGGAACCCUGAUGCAGCGACGCCGCGUGGGAGAAGAGGCGCCUCGGCGCGUAAAGCCCUGUCAGCAGGGAAGAAAAUGACGGUACCCGAAGAAGAAGCCCCGGCUAACUACGUGCCAGCAGCCGCGGUAAUACGUAGGGGGCAAGCGUUAUCCGGAUUUACUGGGUGUAAAGGGAGCGUAGACGGCUGUGCAAGUCUGAAGUGAAAGCACGUGGCUCAACCGCGGAACUGCUUUGGAAACUGUAUAGCUUGA
rnacentral:rRNA from 1 species